CCUCGUCCUGCAGCUUCGAGGAACUUCUUCGGUGCGCGAAUAAAAUCCAGACGAAAAGUAGCAGCGUUAUGAGCGAGAGUUUGAUGGGUCUGACGGAUGGAUGGAAGAGGAAGAAUACAUCUAUAAGUGCUUGACUGGAAUUGGCCGGCGGCUGGCCGGCUUUGCCGCUGAUUAUAUACCCCGCGAAACGACGGACGGAUAUUUCUGCCGGGGCUAUCCAGGUGCGUGGUUUUGGCUGCUGCUGUUUCUUCUUCGACCACCCACGUUCGCUCUGACCUAAUCUUGGACGUCCUCCUCCUCUUCGUCGUCAUGGAACACCCGCUGAGCUGGCACACCAAUUAAACACACUGUUGUUCAUCCCCCGUAUGUGUGUUUCCUUGUUUUCUCUCCAUUGGUUGGAUUUUUCACGUUUGUUAGCCGUGAUUUUCGACCAUUGCCAAGUUCCGCAACCGAGAUCUACGGACAGAUUUAUUCCUGACUGAUAUGUAUCAGAUAUCUGUGAUCUAUGAAUAAUAAAAACAUGGAACUCUC